AUACGGAGGAUCCGAGCGUUAUCCGGAUUUAUUGGGUUUAAAGGGAGCGUAGGUGGACAGUUAAGUCAGUUGUGAAAGUUUGCGGCUCAACCGUAAAAUUGCAGUUGAUACUGGUUGUCUUGAGUACAGUAGAGGUGGGCGGAAUUCGUGGUGUAGCGGUGAAAUGCUUAGAUAUCACGAAGAACUCCGAUUGCGAAGGCAGCUCACUGGACUGCAACUGACACUGAUGCUCGAAAGUGUGGGUAUCAAACAGGAUUAGAUACCCUGGUAGUCCACACAGUAAACGAUGAAUACUCGCUGUUUGCGAUAUACAGUAAGCGGCCAAGCGAAAGCAUUAAGUAUUCCACCUGGGGAGAACGACCGCAAGGUUGAAACUUAAAGGAAUUGACGGGG
rnacentral:rRNA from 1 species